CCUACGGGGGGCAGCAGUGAGGAAUAUUGGUCAAUGGGCGGAAGCCUGAACCAGCCAAGUCGCGUGAGGGAUUAAGGCCCUGCGGGUGGUAAACCUCGUUUGCCGGGGAGCAGUGGUCCGGACGCGUCCGGACCGGGAGAGUACCCGGAGACAAAGCAACGGCUAACUCCGUGCCAGCCGCCGCCGUAAUACGGAGGAUGCGAGCGUUAUCCGAAUUUAUUGGGUUUAAAGGAUGCGUAGGCGGGCAUUUAAGCCGGCGGUAAAAUGUCGGGGCUAAACCCCGGCCUGCCGUCGCAACUGGGUGCCUUGAGUGGGUGAGAGGAAUGUGGAAUGCGAGGUGUAGGGGUGAAAUGCAUAGAUAUCACGAAGAACACCGAUUGCGAAGGCAGCAUACCGGCGCACUACUGACGCUGAGGCACGAAAGUGUGGGUAGCGAACAGGAUUAGAUACCCCAGUAGUC
rnacentral:rRNA from 1 species